rnacentral:rRNA from 1 species
UACGGGGGGGGCAAGCGUUGUUCGGAAUUACUGGGCGUAAAGGGCUCGUAGGUGGCCAACUAAGUCAGACGUGAAAUCCCCAGGCUUAACCUGGGAACUGCGUCUGAUACUGGAUGGCUAGAGUUUGGGAGAGGGAUGCGGAAUUCCAGGUGUAGCGGUGAAAUGCGUAGAUAUCAGGAGGAACACCGAUGGCGAAGGCAGCUCGCUGGGACGGUACUGACGCUGAGGCGCGAAAGCGUGGGGAGCAAACAGG